rnacentral:rRNA from 1 species
CCUACGGGAGGCAGCAGUAGGGAAUCUUCCACAAUGGGCGAAAGCCUGAUGGAGCAACGCCGCGUGGGUGAAGAAGGUCUUCGGAUCGUAAAACCCUGUUGUUAGAGAAGAAAGUGCGUGAGAGUAAAUGUUCACGUUUCGACGGUAUCUAACCAGAAAGCCACGGCUAACUACGGGCCAGGAGCCGCGGUAAUACGUAGGUGGCAAGCGUUAUCCGGCUUUAUUGGGCGUAAAGGGAACGCAGGCGGUCUUGUAAGGCUGAUGUGAAAGCGGUCGGGUUAACCGGGGUAGUGCAUUGGAAACUGGGAGACGUGAGUGCAGAAGAGGAGAGUGGAACUCCAUGUGUAGCGGUGAAAUGCGUAGAUAUAUGGAAGAACACCAGUGGCGAAAGCGGCUCUCUGGUCUGUAACUGACGCGGAGGUUCGAAAGCGUGGGUAGCAAACAGGAUUAGAUACCCCUGUAGUC